GAGGGGAGGAGGCCAUCUGGACAGCUGCACUGCACACCUGCGCUUCCGUGCCCUCCAGGCUGCGGCUGACGGUGGCGUGCCUUGGCCGGUGCAACAUCCCGCACAGCUCCUGGCCCAGCUUGAGGGCGGCGGCGCGCACCAGGCGCGGGGACUUGCGGCCCAGCCAGAUGAACACGUCGGACCAACAGUCCAGGAUGUACACGCAGCGCGUGUCCAGCAAGCUCUGCAGCUGCAAGGCAAAGGCUGGAGCUCCUGUCAGGACACAGAGUCACCUCUCCGUGCAGCAAGUGCUACAGAUCCACGAUGAAGUUAAACAAAAUAAAAAAACCAAGAUCUGUGUUCAUAAACAGAAACGCAUGA